GGAGGGGUGCCGGAGUGGCCUAACGGGACCGCCUGCUAAGCGGUGGGGGGUGCGAAAAGCCUCCCUCGAGGGUUCGAAUCCCUCCCCCUCCGCCU
rnacentral:tRNA from 1 species